AUGGGGGAUAGCUAUUAGAAAUAGUAGAUAAUACCGAAUACGAGCACGAGGGGUUAGAGAUCUGUGAGGAAAGGAGCUAAGGCUCCGCUGAAGGAAUGGCCUGCGGCCCAUUAGCUAGUUGGUGAGGUAAGAGCCCACCAAGGCGAUGAUGGGUAUCCGGCCUUAGAGGGUGAACGGACACAUUGGGACUGAGAUACGGCCCAGACUCCUACGGGAGGCAGCAGCUAAGAAUAUUCCGCAAUGGACGAAAGUCUGACGGAGCGACGCCGCGUGGAAUGAAGAAGGCCGGAAGGUUGUAAAAAUCCUUUUGAAACUGAAGAAUAAGCGUUGUAGGGAAUGACAGCGUGGUGACAGUAGGUUUUGAAUAAGCAACGGCUAAUUACGUGCCAGCCGCUGC
rnacentral:rRNA from 1 species